rnacentral:tRNA from 1 species
GGAGAGGUGACCGAGUGGUCGAAGGUGCAUGAUUGGAAAUCAUGUGUGUUCGCAAGAGCACCGCGGGUUCGAAUCCCGCCCUCUCCG